rnacentral:rRNA from 1 species
AUUGAACGCUGGCGGAAUGCUUUACACAUGCAAGUCGAACGGUAGAGGGGGCAACCCCUCGAGAGUGGCGAACGGGUGAGUAAUAUAUCGGAACGUGCCCAGUCGUGGGGGAUAACGUAGCGAAAGUUACGCUAAUACCGCAUACGAUCUAAGGAUGAAAGCGGGGGAUCGCAAGACCUCGCGCGAUUGGAGCGGCCGAUAUCAGAUUAGGUAGUUGGUGGGGUAAAGGCUCACCAAGCCAACGAUCUGUAGCUGGUCUGAGAGGACGACCAGCCACACUGGGACUGAGACACGGCCCAGACUCCUACGGGAGGCAGCAGUGGGGAAUUUUGGACAAUGGGCGAAAGCCUGAUCCAGCCAUGCCGCGUGCAGGAUGAAGGCCUUCGGGUUGUAAACUGCUUUUGUACGGAACGAAAAGACUCUGGUUAAUACCUGGGUCCAUGACGGUACCGUAAGAAUAAGCACCGGCUAACUACGUG